rnacentral:rRNA from 1 species
CUAGCGGCGGAUGGGUGAGUAACACGUGGGCAAUCUGCCCUAAAGACUGGGAUACCACUUGGAAACAGGUGCUAAUACCGGAUAACAACAUGAAUCGCAUGAUUCAAGUUUGAAAGGCGGCGCAAGCUGUCACUUUAGGAUGAGCCCGCGGCGCAUUAGCUAGUUGGUGGGGUAAAGGCCUACCAAGGCAAUGAUGCGUAGCCGAGUUGAGAGACUGAUCGGCCACAUUGGGACUGAGACACGGCCCAAACUCCUACGGGAGGCAGCAGUAGGGAAUCUUCCACAAUGGACGCAAGUCUGAUGGAGCAACGCCGCGUGAGUGAAGAAGGUCUUCGGAUCGUAAAGCUCUGUUGUUGGUGAAGAAGGAUAGAGGCAGUAACUGGUCUUUAUUUGACGGUAAUCAACCAGAAAGUCACGGCUAACUACGUGCCAGCAGCCGCGGUAAUACGUAGGUGGCAAGCGUUGUCCGGAUUUAUUGGGCGUAAAGCGAGCGCAGGCGGAAUGAUAAGUCUGAUGUGAAAGCCCACGGCUCAACCGUGGAACUGCAUCGGAAACUGUCAUUCUUGAGUGCAGAAGAGGAGAGUGGAACUCCAUGUGUAGCGGUGGAAUGCGUAGAUAUAUGGAAGAACACCAGUGGCGAAGGCGGCUCUCUGGUCUGCAACUGACGCUGAGGCUCGAAAGCAUGGGUAGCGAACAGGAUUAGAUACCCUGGUAGUCCAUGCCGUAAACGAUGAGCGCUAGGUGUUGGGGACUUUCCGGUCCUCAGUGCCGCAGCAAACGCAUUAAGCGCUCCG